UACGUAGGGUGCAGGCGUUAAUCGGAAUUACUGGGCGUAAAGCGUGCGCAGGCGGUUUGCUAAGACAGGUGUGAAAUCCCCGGGCUUAACCUGGGAACUGCGCUUGUUACUGGCAGGCUUGAGUGUGGCAGAGGGGGGUGGAAUUCCACGUGUAGCGGUGAAAUGCGUAGAGAUGUGGAGGAACACCGAUGGCGAAGGCAGCCUUCUGGGCCAACACUGACGCUCAUGCACGAAAGCGUGGGGAGCAAACAGG
rnacentral:rRNA from 1 species